rfam:Schistosoma curassoni strain Dakar, Senegal genome assembly, scaffold: SCTD_scaffold0000139
AUCCAGAUGACGAGUCCCAAAUGCGACGAAACACGCGUCCUGGAU